CGUCCUCCACUUCUACUUCUUGGUCUUCAGGAUCGUAGUCGGUAAAACAAUCAAACAGUGUCUUCUUUAAAUUUUAGGCCAUUCUUUUUCCUUGUUUCGUGGAAUUGUGAGAAAUGGACUAUCUGAGUCUGGAUAGUCAUGAUCAGAAAGGGAGUCCUCCAAUAACUCUGCCUCUGGCAUAUGGUCAAGGCUGGAUGUUUUUCACCAAACCUGAAAGUUAAAUUUUGCUUGUUAAGUAAAGGAUUCUGCCCCAAGUUAGAUAAAUUUAGAAUUUGGAAAGACUGAAAGUCUGAAAACUGUUUGAUUCAAUUUCAACAGAGUCUGACGUCGUCUGCUCACCGGAAUUAUGCCAUUCUUAUUUCUUGUUUCGUGGAAUUGUGAGAAAUGGACUAUCUGAGUCUGGAUAGUCAUGAUCAGAAAGGGAGUCCUCCAAUAACUCUGCCUCUGGCAUAUGGUCAAGGCUGGAUGUUCUUCACCACACCUGAAAGUUAAAUUUUGCUUGUUAAGUAAAGGAUUUUGCCCUAAGUUAGAUAAUUGGAAAGACUGAAAACUUUUUGAUUCAAUUUCAACUUUUUAUCGUUUAUUUCUUGUUCUUUCUUCGCCCGCUUUAA